GAUCCUGGCUCAGGACGAACGCUGGCGGCGUGCUUAACACAUGCAAGUCGAACGAAGCUUGAUUACGGAUUCUUCGGAUGAAGUAUGAUAUGACUGAGUGGCGGACGGGUGAGUAACGCGUGAGUAACCUGCCCUUCAGAGGGGGAUAGCGUUUGGAAACGAACGGUAAUACCGCAUAAUGUAUUUUGACCGCAUGAUCGAAAUACCAAAGAUUUAUCGCUGAAGGAUGGACUCGCGU
rnacentral:rRNA from 1 species